rnacentral:rRNA from 1 species
GAUGAACGCUGGCGGCGUGCCUAAUACAUGCAAGUCGAGCGCGAAGAUCAGGAGCUUGCUCCUGAGAUUCGAGUGGCGGACGGGUGAGUAACACGUAGGCAACCUACCCUUGAGAUUGGGAUAACUACCGGAAACGGUAGCUAAUACCGGAUACGACAUUCCUGCAUAAGUAAGAAUGUUAAAAGGCGGAUUUAUCUGCCGCUCAUGGAUGGGCCUGCGGUGCAUUAGCUAGUUGGUGAGAAAGUAGCUCACCAAGGCGACGAUGCAUAGCCGACCUGAGAGGGUGAUCGGCCACACUGGGACUGAGACACGGCCCAGACUCCUACGGGAGGCAGCAGUAGGGAAUCUUCCGCAAUGGACGCAAGUCUGACGGAGCAACGCCGCGUGAGUGAUGAAGGGUUUCGGCUCGUAAAACUCUGUUGUUAAGGAAGAACACUUGAGGUAGUAACUGGCCUUGAGAUGACGUACUUAACCAGAAAGCCACGGCUAA